rnacentral:rRNA from 1 species
AUUGAACGCUGGCGGAAUGCUUUACACAUGCAAGUCGAGCGGCAGCACGGGGGCAACCCUGGUGGCGAGCGGCGAACGGGUGAGUAAUACAUCGGAACAUGCCCAGUCGUGGGGGAUAACACUUCGAAAGAAGUGCUAAUACCGCAUACGUCCUGAGGGGGAAAGCGGGGGAUCGCAAGACCUCGCGCGAUUGGAGUGGCCGAUGUCAGAUUAGCUAGUUGGUGGGGUAAAGGCCUACCAAGGCAACGAUCUGUAGCUGGUCUGAGAGGAUGAUCAGCCACACUGGGACUGAGACACGGCCCAGACUCCUACGGGAGGCAGCAGUGGGGAAUUUUGGACAAUGGGGGCAAACCUGAUACAGCCAUUCCGCGUGAGUGAAGAAGGACUUCGGGUUGUAAAGCUCUUUCGGCAGGAACGAAACGGUGAGCUCUAACAUAGCUUGCUAAUGACGGUACCUGAAGAAGAAGCACCGGCUAACUACGUG